CACUUCUCUGUACCACCAAGCAGUUCCAGAGACCCAUUCCUGCUUCACGCUUCAACUUAGGCACUAUCUUCAUCAUCCUCCUCCGAAGGAUGAAGAGUAUUUACCUGCAUGCCAUGCCAGGCUACGUCUACCUACUAAUAAAUGUCUCUUAGAUGCUGUCAUUACUGUUUCUCCUCUCUGGGUUGAAGGUAGGAUGAGACUGUCAUUACUGUUUCUCCUCUCUGGGUUGAAGGUAGGGUGAGACUGUCAUUACUGUUUCUCCUCUGGGUUGAAGGUAGGGUGAUCUCUCUGGGUUGAAGGUAGGGUGAGACUGUCAUUACUGUUUCUCCUCUGGGUUGAAGGUAGGGUGAGACUGUCAUUACUGUUUCUCCUCUCUGGGUUGAAGGUAGGGUGAGACUGUCAUUACUGUUUCUCCUCUCUGGGUUGAAGGUAGGGUGAGACUGUCAUUACUGUUUCUCCUCUCUGGGUUGAAGGUAGGGUGAGACUGUCAUUACUGUUUCUCCUCUCUGGGUUGAAGGUAGGGUGAGACUGUCAUUACUGUUUCUCCUCUCUGGGUUGAAGGUAGGGUGAGACUGUCAUUACUGUUUCUCCUCUCUGGGUUGAAGGUAGGGUGAGACUGUCAUUACUGUUUCUCCUCUCUGGGUUGAAGGUAGGGUGAGACUGUCAUUACUGUUUCUCCUCUCUGGGUUGAAGGUAGGGUGAGACUGUCAUUACUGUUUCUCCUCUCUGGGUUGAAGGUAGGGUGAGACUGUCAUUACUGUUUCUCCUCUCUGGGUUGAAGGUAGGGUGAGACUGUCAUUACUGUUUCUCCUCUCUGGGUUGAAGGUAGGGUGAGACUGUCAUUACUGUUUCUCCUCUCUGGGUUGAAGGUAGGGUGAGACUGUCAUUACUGUUUCUCCUCUCUGGGUUGAAGGUAGGGUGAGACUGUCAUUACUGUUUCUCCUCUGGGUUGAAGGUAGGGUGAGACUGUCAUUACUGUUUCUCCUCUCUGGGUUGAAGGUAGGGUGAGACUGUCAUUACUGUUUCUCCUCUCUGGGUUGAAGGUAGGGUGAGACUGUCAUUACUGUUUCUCCUCUCUGGGUUGAAGGUAGGGUGAGACUGUCAUUACUGUUUCUCCUCUCUGGGUUGAAGGUAGGGUGAGACUGUCAUUACUGUUUCUCCUCUCUGGGUUGAAGGUAGAGUGAGACUGUCAUUACUGUUUCUCCUCUCUGGGUUGAAGGUAGGGUGAGACUGUCAUUACUGUAUCUCCUCUCUGGGUUGAAGGUAGGGUGAGACUGUCAUUACUGUUUCUCCUCUCUGGGUUGAAGGUAGGGUGAGACUGUCAUUACUGUUUCUCCUCUCUGGGUUGAAGGUAGGGUGAGACUGUCAUUAC